rnacentral:rRNA from 1 species
CAAUAGCGUAUAUUUAAGUUGUUGCAGUUAAAAAGCUCGUAGUUGGAUUUCGGUUAAGAGCGACCGGUCCGCCGUUUGGUGUGCACGGGUUGGUUUUAACUUCCUGUAGAGGACGUGCUCUGGGUUUAACGACCUGGACUCGGAGUCUACGUGGUUACUUUGAAAAAAUUAGAGUGUUCAAAGCGGGCUUACGCUUGAAUAUUUCAGCAUGGAAUAACACUAUAGGACUCCUGUCCUAUUUCGUUGGUCUCGGGACGGGAGUAAUGAUUAAGAGGAACAGUUGGGGGCAUUCGUAUUUCAUUGUCAGAGGUGAAAUUCUUGGAUUUAUGAAAGACGAACUUCUGCGAAAGCAUUUGCCAAGGAUGUUUUCAUUAA